rnacentral:rRNA from 1 species
UACGUAGGGUGCGAGCGUUAAUCGGAAUUACUGGGCGUAAAGCGUGCGCAGGCGGUUCGUUGUGUCCGUCGUGAAAGCCCCGGGCUUAACCUGAGAACUGCGAUGGAAACUAGCGAGCUGGAGUGUGGCAGAGGGGGGUGGAAUUCCGCGUGUAGCAGUGAAAUGCGUAGAGAUGCGGAGGAACACCGAUGGCGAAGGCAGCCCCCUGGGCUAACACUGACGCUCAGGCACGAAAGCGUGGGGAGCAAACAGG